AUUGAACGCUGGCGGCAGGCUCAACACAUGCAAGUCGAGCGGGGGAAGGUAGCCUACUACCGGACCUAGCGGCGGACGGGUGAGUAAUGCUUAGGAAUCUGCCUAUUAGUGGGGGACAACAUCUCGAAAGGGAUGCUAAUACCGCAUACGUCCUACGGGAGAAAGCAGGGGAUCUUCGGACCUUGCGCUAAUAGAUGAGCCUAAGUCGGAUUAGCUAGUUGGUGGGGUAAAGGCCUACCAAGGCGACGAUCUGUAGCGGGUCUGAGAGGAUGAUCCGCCACACUGGGACUGAGACACGGCCCAGACUCCUACGGGAGGCAGCAGUGGGGAAUAUUGGACAAUGGGCGGAAGCCUGAUCCAGCCAUGCCGCGUGUGUGAAGAAGGCCUUUGGGUUGUAAAGCACUUUAAGCGAGGAGGAGGCUACCUGGAUUAAUACUCUAGGAUAGUGGACGUUACUCGCAGAAUAAGCACCGGCUAACUCUGUGCCAGCAGCCGCCGUAA
rnacentral:rRNA from 1 species